rnacentral:rRNA from 1 species
GGGGAAUAUUGCACAAUGGGCGCAAGCCUGAUGCAGCCAUGCCGCGUGUGUGAAGAAGGCCUUCGGGUUGUAAAGCACUUUCAGCGGGGAGGAAGGCGUUAAGGUUAAUAACCUUGGCGAUUGACGUUACCCGCAGAAGAAGCACCGGCUAACUCCGUGCCAGCAGCCGCGGUAAUACGGAGGGUGCAAGCGUUAAUCGGAAUUACUGGGCGUAAAGCGCACGCAGGCGGUCUGUCAAGUCGGAUGUGAAAUCCCCGGGCUCAACCUGGGAACUGCAUUCGAAACUGGCAGGCUAGAGUCUUGUAGAGGGGGGUAGAAUUCCAGGUGUAGCGGUGAAAUGCGUAGAGAUCUGGAGGAAUACCAGUGGCGAAGGCGGUUCUCUGGACCUUUCCUGACGCUGAGGAGCGAAAGCGUGGGGAGCAAAC